AGAGUUGGAUCCUGGUUCAGAUUGAACGCUGGCGGAAUGCUUUACACAUGCAAGUCGAACGGUAGAGGGGGCAACCCCUUGAGAGUGGCGAAGGGGUGAGUAAUGUAUCGGAACGUGCCCAGUCGUGGGGGAUAACGUAGUGAAAAUUACGCUAAUACCGCAUACGACCUAUGGAUGAAAGCGGGGGAUCGCAAGACCUCGCGCGAUUGGAGCGGCCGAUAUCAGAUUAGGUAGUUGGUGGGGUAAAGGCUCACCAAGCCAACGAUCUGUAGCUGGUCUGAGAGGACGACCAGCCACACUGGAACUGAGACACGGUCCAGACUCCUACGGGAGGCAGCAGUGGGGAAUUUUGGACAAUGGACGCAAGUCUGAUCCAGCCAUUCCGCGUGCAGGACGAAGGCCUUCGGGUUGUAAACUGCUUUUGUACGGAACGAAAAAGCUCUUAUUAAUACUAGGAGUCCAUGACGGUACCGUAAGAAUAAGCACCGGCUAACUACGUGCCAGCAGCCGCGGUAAUACGUAGGGUGCAAGCGUUAAUCGGAAUUACUGGGCGUAAAGCGUGCGCAGGCGGUUAUAUAAGACAGAUGUGAAAUCCCCGAGCUUAACUUGGGAACUGCAUUUGUGACUGUAUAGCUAGAGUACGGCAGAGGGGGAUGGAAUUCCGCGUGUAGCAGUGAAAUGCGUAGAUAUGCGGAGGAACACCGAUGGCGAAGGCAAUCCCCUGGGCCUGUACUGACGCUCAUGCACGAAAGCGUGGGGAGCAAACAGGAUUAGAUACCCUGGUAGUCCACGCCCUAAACGAUGUCAACUGGUUGUUGGGUCUUCACUGACUCAGUAACGAAGCUAACGCG
rnacentral:rRNA from 1 species